CCUUCGAUAGCUCAGUUGGUAGAGCGGUGGACUGUAGAAGUUGAGAUGAUUAUCCAUAGGUCGCUGGUUCGAAUCCGGUUCGAAGGA
rfam:Ciona savignyi cont_27789, whole genome shotgun sequence.